rfam:Oryza sativa Japonica Group DNA, chromosome 3, cultivar: Nipponbare, complete sequence.
UUUCCGACGAAAUAUGUACUACCUCCGCCCAACUUUAAUCAUUCGUUUUAUUUAAAAUUUUUUUAUAAUUAGCAAUUUUGUAGUUAUAAGAUGAUAAAACAUAAAUAUUACUUUACUCGUGAAUUAUGUUUUUAAUUUUUUUCAAAAAAUUUUCAAAUAAGACGAGUUGUCAAAGUUGAAUGCGGAAAACCAUAGCUGCACUUAUU